rnacentral:rRNA from 1 species
GAUGAACGCUAGCGGCAGGCCUAAUACAUGCAAGUCGAGGGGUAACAGGAGUAGCAAUACUUGCUGACGACCGGCGCACGGGUGCGUAACACGUAUACAAUCUGCCUUUAACAGGGGGAUAGCCCGGAGAAAUCCGGAUUAAUACCCCAUAACAAUGGGUUUGGCAUCAAACCUAUUUAAAGCUCCGGCGGUUAGAGAUGAGUAUGCGUCUGAUUAGCUAGUUGGUGAGGUAACGGCNCACCAAGGCAACGAUCAGUAGGGGAUCUGAGAGGAUUAA